CUGUUGCUCUUUUUGCCUGAGGAGUCUUCCAUCCUACGUCGAGCUCUGACUCCCGUGCUGUCGAGAGGGAGUCCCCGGGGACACCUCGGCACGCAGCGGAGAUGCCUCUUUUUGCCACCAAUCCCUUCGAUCAGGAUGUUGAGAAAGCAACCAGCGAGAUGAAUACUGCUGAGGACUGGGGCCUCAUUUUGGAUAUCUGUGAUAAAGUUGGUCAGUCUCGCACUGGGGUCAUCCUAAAGUAUGUGAAAAAUUAAAGGCUCUUAUGGUUGAAUGGACAGAUGAAUUUAAGAAUGAUCCACAGCUUAGUCUAAUAUCAGCAAUGAUUAAGAACCUUAAGGAACAAGGAGUUACGUUCCCAGCUAUUGGCUCUCAGGCUGCAGAACAAGCAAAAGCAAGCCCAGCUCUUGUAGCCAAGGAUCCUGGUACUGUGGCUAAC
rnacentral:lncRNA from 1 species